GAGGAGAUAGCGUAGCGGCUUAGCGUUUUCGGUUUGGGAUCGAAGCUUCGUGGGUUCGAAUCCCACUCUCCUGA
rnacentral:tRNA from 1 species